rnacentral:rRNA from 1 species
GACGAACGCUGGCGGCGUGCUUAACACAUGCAAGUCGAACGGGCCUUGUCCCCUUUUUUUUGGGGGUGGGGUUAGUGGCGAACGGGUGAGUAACACGUGAGUAACCUGCCCCUCACUUCUGGAUAACCGCUUGAAAGGGUGGCUAAUACGGGGUGUUCUGGCCUGCUCGCAUGGGUGGGUUUGGAAAGAUUCGACCGGUUUUGGUUGUUUUGGUGGGGGAUGGGCUCGCGGCCUAUCAGCUUGUCGGUGGGGUGAUGGCCUGCCAAGGCUUUGACGGGUAGCCGGCCUGAGAGGGUGGGCGGUCACACUGGGACUGAGACACGGCCCAGACUCCUACGGGAGGCAGCAGUGGGGAAUAUUGCACAAUGGGCGCAAGCCUGAUGCAGCGACGCCGCGUGAGGGAUGGAGGCCUUCGGGUUGUGAACCUCUUUCGCCAGUGAAGAAGGUCCUGCUCUUUGUGGUGGGGUUGACGGUAGCUGGGUUAAUGAAGCGCCGGCUAACUACGUG